GACGAACGCUGGCGGCGUGCUUAACACAUGCAAGUCGAACGGAAAGGCCCUGCUUUUGUUGGUUGCUCGAUUGGCGAACGCGUGAGUAACACGUGAGUAACCUGCCCCUGACUUUGGGAUAACUUCAGGAAACUGGGGCUCAUACCGGAUAGGAUCUCCUGCUGCAUGGUGGGGGUUGGAGAGUUUCGGCGGUUGGGGCUGGACUCGCGGCUUAUCAGCUUGUUGGUGGGGUAGUGGCUUACCACGGGUUUGACGGGUCGCCGGCCUGAGAGGGUGACCGGCCCCAUGGGGACUGAGGGAGGGCCCAGACUCGUACGGGAGGCAGCGGUGGAGAGUAUUACGCAAUGGGGGGAAGCCUGAUACGGCAGCGCCGCGAGCGGGAAACCGGCCUUCGGGUUGAAAACCGCUUUGGCAGGUACCGAAGCGUGAGUGACGGUACUGGGUAAAGAAGCACCGGCUAACUACGUG
rnacentral:rRNA from 1 species